rnacentral:rRNA from 1 species
GCCUACGACGGAAAUCAUCGUGAAUGCGCCUGUUCAUUCCAGAUCCCGGAAGUUAAGCAGGAAUUGUGCCGGGUUAGUACUGAGAUGGGCGACUAUUUUGUGAAUACCAGGUGUUGUAGGCU